CUUCCUUCUCAAAAAAGUGUGAUUUUGGUAAAAAUUGGUGUUCACGGCACUCGGUUUCUUAACCACGGUGCUGGGGAGAGAGGGUAGUUUUGUCCUUUGGAGUUUCUUUUAUCUCAGAUGUAAAAUGACGUUUAUACCGGACUGUAAUCUCUGAGUUUGGGGAUUGUGUGAAGAGCUGAACAACAUGUAGAAACAAGAUCCAGAUGGGAUCCAUCCACACAGGAUCUGACGAGAGGCUGUGAGACCCUGACGAAAACAGAAAAUAGAGCCAACUUUGCCUUCCAGUUCUUAAAUGCUGUUGCAGAAGAGACCAUGAGCACAAGGACGGUGAGAGGACAGGAUGCAGUGUAAUACAGCACACAAACUCUUGUGAAGUUUAUGGCAGUAGUGAAGACAGUCUAAGGAUUUUGCCAGCAGCACUGAUUUACCAUGACUUGGGUACAAUUAAAGUGUGAGAAACCUCCAAGAGAUGUGGUUGUGUCCUGGAGUGGCUUUUGUCUGCAUAAGGCAAGAAACAGAAUAGCAUCACAUGUGAAAGUGUAACAAGAGAAGGAGAUGAGGUUAUUUAGAGCUACCAUUUGUAUCGAUGCUGUAUUUCAUUCACACUUCUU